GACGAACGCUGGCGGUGUGCCUAAUACAUGCAAGUUGAGCGCUGAAGGUUGGUACUUGUCCCAACUGGAUGAGCAGCGAACGGGUGAGUAACGCGUGGGGAAUCUGCCUUUGAGCGGGGGACAACAUUUGGAAACGAAUGCUAAUACCGCAUAAAAACUUUAAACACAAGUUUUAAGUUUGAAAGAUGCAAUUGCAUCACUCAAAGAUGAUCCCGCGUUGUAUUAGCUAGUUGGUGAGGUAAAGGCUCACCAAGGCGAUGAUACAUAGCCGACCUGAGAGGGGGAUCGGCCACAUUGGGACUGAGACACGGCCCAAACUCCUACGGGAGGCAGCAGUAGGGAAGCUUCGGCAAUGGACGAAAGUCUGACCGAGCAACGCCGCGUGAGUGAAGAAGGGUUUCGGAUCGUAAAACUCUGUUGGUAGAGAAGAACGUUGGUGAGAGUGGAAAGCUCAUCAAGUGACGGUAACUACCCAGAAAGGGACGGCUAACUACGUG
rnacentral:rRNA from 1 species